AUGGCCGGCACCAGCGCAAGCGCACUGCCCCCGGCAAGGAGGAGCCGUUUCCUUCUUGUUAGCGGCACCAUCCACCCGCCCCUGCCAGCGUAUGAUUGCUCCAAGAAGUCGGCCGAAGCAUGCCUUGCGACGGGGACGGCGUGCUGCAGCGGCCAGUGCGUGGACACUGUCGCCAGCGUCCAACACUGCGGCGGCUGCAACAAAGCAUGCAAGCUUGGCCGGACGUGCUGCGGUGGACGCUGUGUGGAUCUCCUCUCCGACAAGAAGAACUGCGGCACCUGCUCUAAUAAGUGCAACAAGAAGUGCAGCUAUGGAUUCUGCGAUUACGCGCAGUAA
rnacentral:rRNA from 1 species